UCCACAGGUGACACCACGCCUCUUCCUGUCACUAGCCCUUCCUCAGCAUCCACAGGUCACGCCAGCCCUCUUCUUGUCACUGACGCUUCCUCAGCAUCCACAGGUCAGGCCACCCCUCUUCCUGUCACCGACACUUCCUCAGUAUCCACAGCUCACGCCACCCCACUUCCUGUCACCGGCCUUUCUUCAGCUUCCACAGAUGACCGACACUUCCUCAGUAUCCACAGGUCACGCCACCUCUCUUCCUGUCACCAGCCGUUCCUCAGCAUCCACAGGUCACGCCACCCCCCUUCCUGUCACCGACACUUCCUCAGUAUCCACAGGUCACGCCACCCCUCUUCCUGUCACCAGCACUUCCUCAGUAUCUACAGGUCACGCCACCCCUCUUCCUGUCACCAGCCCUUCCUCAGCAUCCACAGGUCACGCCACCCCUGUUCCUGUCACCAGCACUUCCUCAGCAUCCACAGGUGACACCACCCCUCUUCCUGUCACCAAUGCUUCCUCAUUAUCCACAGGUCACGCCACCCCUCUUCAUGUCACCAGCCCUUUAAGGGUGUGGAAGGUAUGGGUGUGGAAGGUAUGGGUGUGGAAGGUAUGGGUGUGGAAGGUAUGGAUGUGGAAGGUAUGGGUGUGGAAGGUAUGGGUGUGGAAGGUAUGACUGUGGAAGGUAUGGGUGUGGAAGGUAUGACUGUGGAAGGUAUGGGUGUGGAAGGUAUGGGUGUGGAAGGUAUGGGUGUGGAAGGUAUGGAUGUGGAAGGUAUGGGUGUGGAAGGUAUGGGUGUGGAAGGUAUGACUGUGGAAGGUAUGGGUGUGGAAGGUAUGACUGUGGAAGGUAUGGGUGUGGAAGGUAUGGGUGUGGAAGGUAUGGGUGUGGAAGGUAUGGGUGUGGAAGGUAUGGAUGUGGAAGGUAUGGGUGUGGAAGGUAUGGGUGUGGAAGGUAUGACUGUGGAAGGUAUGGGUGUGGAAGGUAUGACUGUGGAAGGUAUGGGUGUGGAAGGUAAGGGUGUGGAAGGUAUGGGUGUGGAAGGUAUGGGUGUGGAAGGUAUGGGUGUGGAAGGUAUGACUGUGGAAGGUAUGGCCGUGGAAGGUAUGGGUGUGGAAGGUAUGGGUGUGGAAGGUAUGGGUGUGGAAGGUAUGGGUGUGGAAGGUAUGGGUGUGGAAGGUAUGGGUGUGGAAGGUAUGACUGUGGAAGGUAUGGGUGUGGAAGGUAAGGGUGUGGAAGGUAUGGGUGUGGAAGGUAUGGGUGUGGAAGGUAUGACUGUGGAAGGUAUGGGUGUGGAAGGUAUGGGUGUGGAAGGUAUGGGUGUGGAAGGUAUGGGUGUGGAAGGUAUGGGUGCGGAAGGUAUGGGUGUGGAAGGUAUGGGUGCGGAAGGUAUGGGUGUGGAAGGUAUGGGUGUGGAAGGUAUGGAUGCGGAAGGUAUGGGUGUGGAAGGUAUGGGUGCGGAAGGUAUGGGUGCGGAAGGUAUGGGUGUGGAAGGUAUGGGUGUGGAAGGUAUGGGUGUGGAAGGUAUGGGUGUGGAAGGUAUGGCUGUGGAAGGUAUGGGUGUGGAAGGUAUGGGUGUGGAAGGUAUGACUGUGGAAGGUAUGGGUGUGGAAGGUAUGGGUGUGGAAGGUAUGGGUGUGGAAGGUAUGGGUGUGGAAGGUAUGGGUGUGGAAGGUAUGGGUGUGGAAGGUAUGGAUGUGGAAGGUAUGGGUGUGGAAGGUAUGGGUGUGGAAGGUAUGACUGUGGAAGGUAUGGGUGUGGAAGGUAUGGCUGUGGAAGGUAUGGGUGUGGAAGGUAAGGGUGUGGAAGGUAUGGGUGUGGAAGGUAUGGGUGUGGAAGGUAAGGGUGUGGAAGGUAUGGGUGUGGAAGUUAUGGCCGUGGAAGGUAUGGAUGUGGAAGGUAUGGGUGUGGAAGGUAUGACUGUGGAAGGUAUGGAUGUGGAAGGUAUGGGUGUGGAAGGUAUGGGUGUGGAAGGUAUGACUGUGGAAGGUAUGGGUGUGGAAGGUAUGGGUGUGGAAGGUAUGGGUGUGGAAGGUAUGGGUGUGGAAGGUAUGGCCGUGGAAGGUAUGGGUGUGGAAGGUAUGACCGUGGAAGGUAUGGCCGUGGAAGGUAUGGGUGUGGAAGGUAAGGGUGUGGAAGGUAUGGGUGUGGAAGGUAUGGGUGUGGAAGGUAAGGGUGUGGAAGGUAUGGAUGUGGAAGGUAUGGGUGUGGAAGGUAUGGGUGUGGAAGGUAUCGGUGUGGAAGGUAUGGGUGUGGAAGGUAUGACUGUGGAAGGUAUGGGUGUGGAAGGUAUGACUGUGGAAGGUAUGGGUGUGGAAGGUAUGGGUGUGGAAGGUAUGGGUGUGGAAGGUAUGGGUGUGGAAGGUAUGACUGUGGAAGGUAUGGGUGUGGAAGGUAUGGGUGUGGAAGGUAUGGCUGUGGAAGGUAUGGGUGUGGAAGGUAUGACUGUGGAAGGUAUGGGUGUGGAAGGUAUGGGUGUGGAAGGUAUGGGUGUGGAAGGUAUGGGUGUGGAAGGUAUGGGUGUGGAAGGUACGAGUGUGGUAGGUAUGGCUGCAGAAAGUCGUCCCGGUGCUGCAUGGGGGUGGAUCCCCGAAGCAUUUGGGGUGGCUGAAAAUGAGAAGAAGGGUAGCAAAAAGUGCGGCCGGCAUGCGGGGAAUCCUGUAGGCAACGGGAGCCAGGGAGGACUCAGUUUUGCAUUGUACAAAUGGCAUUUAACAAGUGGUGCCUGGAGCGGUCCGAUUUGCAGGCAGUGAGGAGGCCAGGAGAGCCUGCGGGUUUCCAAGCAGGACCAGGGGAGGGCGCCAAGGAGUCGGCAGCUGCGAGAAAUAUUUGGGACAAGGUUUCUCAAACUGGAGCCCGAGGGCCUCUAGGGAGUCCUAGGUUAAAUUGGAGGAGUCUUCAAGUUUAUCUGGAGAAAGGCCGUCUUAGGAAACAAGUCUCAUUCCCUGAAAAGGGCUUUGCAGUUACUCAUCUUCAUUGCGCUGGACUUUUGUCUAUUUUUUUUUUUUUUUUUGAGAUGGAGUUUUCGCUCUUGUUGCCCAGGCUGGAGUGCAGUGGCGCGAUCUCAGCUCACUGGAACCUCAGCCUCCCGGGUUCAAGCAAAAGUGGGCAGGGUCCUCAGGCAGAAAGUGGGGGGCCCAUGUGUAGGAGUGGGACCCUCGUUGGCUUGUUUUCAUCUGCCCUCCUUUCCUAGGAAUACG
rnacentral:lncRNA from 1 species